rnacentral:rRNA from 1 species
GUUUGAUCCUGGCUCAGAACGAACGCUGGCGGCGUGGCUAAGACAUGCAAGUCGAACGGACCAGUAAUUUAUUAUUGGUUAGUGGCGUAAGGGUUAGUAAUGGAUAGGUAACGUACCCUUUGCUUCGGAACAGCGUCGUUCGCCUUCGGGCGAACUUCCGAAAGGGGCGGUAAUACCGAAUAAUAUCACUUGCCGAUGGGCAAAUGUUCAAAGAUUUAUCAGCAAAGGAGCGGCCUAUCUCUUAUCAGCUUGUUGGUGGGGUAAUGGCUCACCAAGGCUAAGACGGGUAGCGGGACUGAGAGGUCGUUCCGCAACAUCGGGACUGAGACACUGCCCGGACCUCCACGGAGGGCUGCAGUAACGAAUCUUGCGCAAUGGGCGAAAGCCUGACGCACCGACGCCGCGUGCGGGAUGAAGUCCCUCGGGAUGUAAACCGCUGUCAGGGGUAAGAAAGUCCGCCUCGGCGGAUUGAUCUAACCCAGAGGAAGUCACGGCUAACUUCGUGCCACCAGCCGCGGUAAGACGAAGGUGGCAAGCGUUGUUCGGUAUUACUGGGCUUAGAGAGUGUGUAGGCGGAGAGGUAAGCGUCCUGUGAGAGCCCCCGGCUCAACCGGGGAAUUGCGCGGCGAACUGCCUUUCUUGAGCCAGGUAGGUGUGCACGGAACUGUUGGUGGAGCGGUGGAAUGCGUAAUAUCAACAGGAACGCCGGUGGAGAAUCGGUGCACUGAGCUUGUGCUGACGCUGAGACACGAAAGCGUGAGGAGCGAACGAGAUUAGAUACCCCGGUAGUCCACGCCGUAAACGAUGUCUACUAGGUUGUGGCGGUUCUGACUCAAUCACGGCCGAGCAAAGUGCUAAGUAGACCGCCUGGCGGACUACGGCGCAAGGCUUAAAACUCAAAGAUUUGACGAGGUGCUCACAGACCGUGAGCAUGUGGAUCAAGUGCGUAAGCACGCGCAUACCUAGCUGCGUUCGACUGCUGCAUGCUGCCCCCGAACGGGGAUACGCUGCUCCUCGGAUGAACUGCCAGUGCUGCAUGCUGCUUCAGCUCUGUCCUGGAAUGUCG